rnacentral:lncRNA from 10 species
GUAUAUUUCUCACAACAGCUGUUCUAUGCCUCAUUUUAAUCCUUCCUCUGUCAGCCUAAACCCAAUCCUGCCUUCUCAUCUUUGACAGACAGCAGCAGUCAACUUUUGUCUGUGGAAAACAACUUUGGCUUCAUUGAGAAAAGGAUAUAGAAAGCAGGAGGAUAUACCUGUCUUCAAGCACCAGCUGGUCAUCACAUGCAUGCCUGUACCACCAAGGAGGGCACUCAUAGGUCUCCUGCCUUACCACUAACCUUUUACAUGAGCACCUAGUAGAGGCCAGUGGGAAAAAGCUGAUAAUCAUAUCCACAAAAAACAUUUGAGAUGCCUAUCCAAGUCCUGAUUUCUUCUCUGAAGUCUGCUUCCCACCUAGAAAGACCGGCAUGACUUGAACUAAGGAAAAGGCAGUGCUUUCCUGGCCAACAAGUUUGUCAUUCAAUUGUCUGGCUAAUGAGUCAGCAUGCUAAAUGAGGUAUGCCUAUAUACAGAACUAGACAUUAAGGGAAACAGUCUAGAAAUAGCUAAUUCUCUUGUGCUCUUAUAUACUACACACUGAACUAAAGCACUCUGAAUAUUAACUUAUUUAUCUUCAAUAUCCUUGAGGUAGGUACUAUUACUGCCUUAAAAAUAAGAUAAGGCAGCACAGGAAGAUUAAAUAACUUAAAGAGAGUCACACAGUUAGUAUUAUAAAUGGCAGGGCUAUGAUUAAACUCAGGCCUUCUGGCUCCAGAGCUCAGAAUCCUAACCACUAUAUUACCCCAUCUUUAAAAGUUAUUAGGACCAGAAGAAAUAACAUUCAGAAGUUAAAAUAGUAAACUGAGAUGAUAAAAG